CUUUGACCUGGGAAUUCCUCAAGCUGUACUUCCCCCAUUACCAAAGAGGCCUGCUCUUGAAAAAACCAACGGUGCCACUGCAGUCUUUAACACUGGUAUUUUCCAAUACCAACAGGCUCUAGCCAACAUGCAGUUACAACAGCAUACAGCAUUUCUCCCACCAGUUCCCAUGGUGCACGGUGCUACGCCAGCCACUGUGUCCGCAGCAACAACAUCUGCCACAAGUGUUCCCUUCGCUGCAACAGCCACAGCCAACCAGAUACCCAUAAUAUCUGCCGAACAUCUGACUAGCCACAAGUAUGUUACCCAGAUGUAGAAUUUUCAUCACUAAACAAUCAUGCUAAAGAGGAAAGGACAGUGUGCUUGGUUAGAGUAAAGGACGAGGUCAUUAGCCAUAUUGUAUAUAUCGUCAAGCAACACACACAAAAGUUCCUCAGCCACAAGACAUCCACAUAUUGCAUGUUAACCAGAAGAAAAGACAACAUUUUCCGGAAAUCCACUGCACACUGUUGCCUAUACACUUUGUACAUUUAAUUGAUAUUUGUGCUGAGGUGAUAUUCCUGUCUAAAAGAACAACAUUGUCUUUCUUUUCUAGCACAGAGUUAUGCAUUCAAAGAUGCAUACCUAAUUAGUUUCCUAUAUAUUAAUGCCAUCUUGAAAAGACAGACUAUGGUGUAACCAUGAUUCUAUUAUGUAUUGGUACGUCUGUAGACCAAGAUAUAAUUUUUUAAAAAUAAGUUUAUUUCUUUCAAGGUUUACAAAUAACAAAGGUGCACCUUGUGUUUAAAAUUGCCAUUAUAGAUGAGAGCGUGCAUGCACAGUCAUUUUUGUUUAAGAGUAAUAUUUUUAAUGUAAUAGAUUGUAAGACGUGGUGAGGGAGGGAUCUGACAGAGAUGAAUGUGCCAAGCAAAACCACAACUGUGUAUAUUUUAAAGCACAUCAUGGCUUUAAGUACCAUGUUGUUAAGGAUUCUCAUGAAGUGCCAUAGACUGUACAUCAAAUUAGAGUAUUAUUUCUUCAGUGUUUGUUAUUGUUUUCAGAGCCACAUUUUGUUGCAUAUUUGCUAGUACUAAUCAGUCAAAGGGCACCAUUCUUUUUUUUUUUUUUUUGAAACCAAAGCUGUCUCAGAAAUGGCCAAUUUAACUUUACAGUAACAAUAGACAGCACAACACAAACUCUCUCAAUACAGAUAAACUCACACAUACUGGAGAUAUAUAUAUAAUAGAUAUAUAUAAAAUUAUUUUAAUGCAUUGUAGUGUAAUAUUUAUGCAUACUAUACUGUAUAACAUGUUAUUCAAAAGGGAUUGCCAUUUCUGAGACACAGUAACAAAAAAUGUUUGAGGAAAUUAUUUUGCUUCUAUUUAUAGCCUCUGUCAAAAGUCAAAAGACUAUAAAUGCUUUGCAAAAAUGGUUUCACGUUUGCUUAAAUGCUUCAUCACAGUCACAUUCAAAAUAGUGACUCUAAACAAAGAAGAAAGCAGCACUGUCAUCAGAUGCAUGAUAAACCAAAAUAUGAAAAUGGGAAAUGUUUAAUUAACCUAGUAAUUGGGUGGGUUAAGUACAUGGGUGAAUUUUAUAUGUGAUUUUUGUUUUGUUUUGUUUUGUUCAGAUUAACUGCUUAUAGCCUUAGAAAGCCUUUUACAAAAUUAAAAAAAAAUAGAUGUGCAUUCAGUUUUUAAGAAUGGAAUCAUCCAAAGGAAUUCCUUUUUUUGAGGUUUGGAUGUUGCAGCUAGUAAAGGAUAUUUUUGCUCUGUUCAGCAGUUCUAAAAAUUGCUGAAGUAGGGGCCAGGUCACUGGUAGUUAUAGUAUGGAAUGGGAGAAGUGAAAGUUCAGUUAUAGAACUUUCCAUACUUCCAAGUUUACUGCAAGUUUUUAUGCUUGAGAGAGAUGCUUUCUAAUAUAAGACUGAUGUGUUGAUUUUACUGAUUGUACUGUACAUCUAUUAAAGCCUUAGAUUAUUACAUUACGGGUUGGAACCCAUACCAAUGUAAUUUCAAUCGUGUUAAGAAAGUAAUGGUGACUUCACAUGUUAUUGUAGUUAGUUACAUUAUAGAAUAUUACUUAUUUUUCUUGUUAAAAUGUAGUUUUUCAUUUCCUACAUUUAUUAGAUUUUCAUUUUCUAUUAACAAUUGAAUACCAUUUCAGUUUAUAGACUAUGGUUUUAUUAGAUUUUACCAAUGAAUUUUUCAAAAUACAAAAAAAAAGUAGUUUUUCCUUCAUAACAUACUCAGUUUUGAAUUACAUGUAGUGUCAUAUGAAUAUUCGUAUUGUUAACUAAAUGAUUUAUAUUUUACUGAUUUAAUAUUACAGUGUAAGAAUGUCAGUCAUUGUUAGUUCUUGUCUAGUUUUCAUUAAAAGAACAAAGAUCUUUUAUAUGGAUAUCUUAUAAAUAUAUAAUCAUUGCUAAGUAAGAAGUUAAGUUGUUGCUAUCGCAACAAUCCUGGCAGACAAUUGAGUAAUAUUUUGAUGAUUUAUUUUGUUUGUAAUUAGUUAUUAUAAGAAGAUCUAGAUCCUAGAUAUUAGAAUAAAAUUUAUUUUCUACUGUAUCCAUUUCAAAUGUUAAAAUAUUGUUUAAUAUUUUUGAAAUCCCUGAGUAUCAGGCCUUGUUAUAAAUAAGCUGCAUAAUCAAUAAAUAGAACAAGGGACUUUUUGUUGAUAAUCCAAAUACUCAAAGUUUACGUAAUGAAAAUUAUAGCGUGUGUGCAAACUCUUGAGGGUUGAUUAUGCUGCAAUUUAGCAUGUUGGAACGUCUAGGGAGAAGGUUGACUUUUUGCACUUCUGUAUAUAGUCAAAAGAGAGAAACCUGUAUAAUAGUAAGAUCUUAUUUUGAAUAAAAACGUCUAUAAUUACAAGGAGUUUUGUUAAGGCUAAUACAAUGACAGACUGAGCAAAAUUGCUUGCAAAAGUGGCACAGAGUUAGCACUCCAUACCCCUUCAAACAUGUUGCUUUGCUUUCUUGUGGACAGCUUGUAGUUUGCCAGGAUUUUUUCAGCUGGAAAGAUACGCCAUCCUUUCAAACCCUCAUGACUGACAAAAACUCCAUGGGGCCAAAUCUGCCUGAAGAUCAUUACCAAAAAUAGCAGGUACUUCUACCAUUAAGGUGAAAUCAUGGAUCAGAUAUUCCUUACAUUUUUCAAAACUACUGCAUGUUUAAAACUUCAACAAAAAAAGAGAGAAAGAACUAUACUAAGAACAUAUAUUAUUCAGAUCAGUUUCUGCCAAUUUCAGUGGUUUAUUGUUCACAAAAAAAUCUUCAAAACAAGUAUUGACUUUCACAAAAUUUAAAUCAUAAACAGGCAAACCAAACAGCACACUGUAGCUAUAGUUGUUAUGUGAUUGUUUUUUAAUUGCUGUAGGAUCCUGUUCUUUCAGCAGGUGAAAAAUAAAACGCAGUUCAAAUUUCAUGGUUUUAAUUUUCAACUCAGAAGCACUCAAAAAUGCAAAAUGUGAUAAUGGGCACUUGUUAAAAGAAUUAGUGUAUCCAGCCUUCACUCCAGCUGGUUAAAAAUGUUGCACUUAUCAGCAACCCUACCACUUUCAUCUGCUGAAAGGACAAAUGUGCUUGGUUUUACUAUUAUGUAAUCACAACUUACUUUCUGCUUGUAGUUGCUUAAAAUUAUGUAUUUUGUCUUGGGCUGCAAUUUGUUUUAUGCUUAUUUUAUUAUUACUGCAGUAGUUGACUUUGCUGUAUGGAAAAAUAAAGUGAAAUUGCCC
rnacentral:lncRNA from 1 species